UACGUAGGGUGCAAGCGUCGUCCGGAAUUAUUGGGCGUAAAGGGUGCGUAGGUGGCGUCGUAAGUCGGGUGUGAAAUUUCGGAGCUCAACUCCGAAACUGCAUUCGAUACUGCGGUGCUUGAGGACUGGAGAGGAGACUGGAAUUUACGGUGUAGCAGUGAAAUGCGUAGAGAUCGUAAGGAAGACCAGUGGCGAAGGCGGGUCUCUGGACAGUUCCUGACACUGAGGCACGAAGGCCAGGGGAGCAAACGGG
rnacentral:rRNA from 1 species